GCUGAAGCGUCUGAAACAAGACUAACAAGACUAACGAGAUUAACAAGAGAAAAACAUACAAAUUUUUAAAAUAUAAGUUGUAUGUGACAUAGAAGCAUUUAUAAAGAAAAGAAGACCAGAAGAAACGGGUAGACCUGGGUAUUUUUAUGCUACUUUUGAUGAAAAUGGGAAUGCUUUUGGAGACGCAUGAGUGAAUAAAAAAAUAUGAUCUAAUGGUAAUAAACUAGAGGAAACAGAGCAAAGUCUGUUCAGAUUCUUCUCUGUGAUGCUUUGUCUUCAGAGGAAGAAGGAAUGGGUUAGUUUGCUCACUUCAAUUUACCAUUAAGAAAGCAUCUGCAACUGUACUCAUAGUUAAUUGCUUUCAGCCGGUGUCUUCGCCAUGUCUUUACUGAAAAUAUGGAGCCUCCUUCAGGUUGGAAGGAAUACCUUUACUUGGGGGCAUGUCAAUUCGUUUUUCUCACUUGAUUCAUCUUUAUGACUUCCUGAGGACAGAUCUAAUUCUAAAGUAACCAGAAGCCUGGCCAUCUCAGAGCAGCAAAUCCCUCAACCUUGGAGCACAAAUGAUCGCUGAUAGAGUCUGCAUAAAAUCAUCUUCCUCUAUCUGACAGCCAUGAGCAGAGCCUUGGGGGUAAAAAAAGCCACAGCCUUAAAUCUCUUCACUCAGAAAUUACCAUGAAGAUAAAAUAAAUAAAUGGAAAGGACUAUCAAGAAGCCAACAAAACAUAAACACCAAACCAACUCAUCUUGUUUCACUUUGGAAAUAAACUGUUCCCAGAUGUGAGACCAACAAAAUUAAUAUUAAGCAAUUAAACCAGUAAAUUAUAAACUGAUUUAUCAUUUGGGAAGUUUAAAGUACAGAGAGAUGAGGUACCUGUAGCCAGAAUUACACAUCAUUUCAAAAUAUGUAGACAAAAAGAAAACUGAAUGAACAGAGAAACAUUGCAGCAAUGCACAGUCUUAGGACGAAUGUUGCUGUUUGCAGACAGAGAAUGUUUGCCAUCUUGUGUAUAGCCUCAAAGCCAUACUGAGAUAAUAGCAUUGUUGUCAAUUGCUUGAAAAAUUUUCACAUUCAAUCCUUCAUGCUAUAUUGGUUGGAAGAGGAGGGAAGUCAGUUCUUACUGAUUACUUCUCAGUGAACUUCUAAUAUUUGCACUGUCACUUCCAUUCAGGGUAAUGAUGUGUGCUGUUAUUUGCACAGAUGGUCCCAUGAGUUUUGAGACCACAGCAAGCAGUUUUUUGCAGGAAUCCAAAAUGGAAAAAUGUAAGAAUUCUCAAGACAUUGAUUUUUCUUCUUUCAAAAAAAAAAAAUCAGUUAUCUAAUAAAAAAUGGAUUUGAUUUUAAAACAAAUUUAAAAACAUCUACAGAAUAACAAUGAAAAAGCAUCAGUGUGGUCAAAUGAAUCCAAAAGGGAUCCAAAGUUUUUAAUGACCAUCAUUUGAUAUCAUUAAAAACCAAGAAGUCAAAUACAGUGAAAUGCACACUAAGCAUUUGUGUUGAACAUCUAUUUGUUCUCUUAAUUAAAAAGUCAUUUGUAAUUUGUAUUUGGCAUAUAACAGUUUUUAUAGCCAAACAGCAUUUUCAGUUUAUUUUUCUAAAUAAAUCUGUUGUUUGUAUUGUUUGUAGUUGCUUAUUUGAUUUGGUUUUCAUUACCAAGAAAACAAGUUUCUUUUGGUUUAUUGGCAAGCUUUUGUCAUAUUAAUUCAGAACUAAUGGAAGAUUGAUAUUUCAAGUAUUUUUGUAGUAUAAAAUUGUGCUUUCUGUUUUCUAAGCUCUGAAAAACAUGGUAUAUUUUUCACUAUGACUUUCUUGUGAAGGGCUAUUUUAACAUUAUAGUUAUAACUAUUGAGAAUUAAUUUUAAUACAAGGGAACAUUGCUAGAAAACAGAAAGCUCAGGUAUUGUAUCAGUAAGGAUUUUUUCUAAGUUUUGUUUCUGGAAUUCUGUUUAGAACAUAAUAAUUAGAUUAAAAAAAAAGGUCACUAAUCCUAAGUGUUCUCAUUAUUGUUAUCCAGAAGUCUGCUAAGAACUUCUAUCAUCUAUCUAUCUAUCUAUCUAUCUAUCUAUCUAUCUAUCCAUCCAUCUAUCAUCUAUCUAUCUAUCUAUCUAUCAUCUAUCUAUCAUCUACCUAUGAGUAGGUAAUCAUACUGGAGCAAAAAUGGAACUCAAUCAAAAAGGGCUGUUUGUAGUGUACAAUUCAAACAAAUUGCUUAUAACAAUUAAAAGAAUAGGUCAUUAGGCUUAUUCCCAAACUAUGAUAUAAAAUCAAACUCCCAACAUGUUGUUCUGUACACUUAAAUUGGUUUACACUCUGCAAUAUCUCCUGGUACUUAGAAUACCUUGCAAUGUAAUGAAGAAAAUUAGUUUGUUUUGCAUGAUUUGAACCUCUGAAAAGUAAUAUAUUGUACAUUAAAAUAAUCAAGCAAGGAAUCAAAUUGCCAGUUCCUGUGAGAUGAUAGGCAUUGAAGUAUAGAUGCCUGAACUCAUCCAUGAAGCAAUCCAUGCUGAUUGCUUCAAUCUGUAAAUUAUUUGAACUUAUAAAUAGGAAAGCCAACUUUCCCAAAAAUAUUUGACAAUAAAAUUAAUCAAGCAUAUGUGAUAAAAAAUAUAGUUCUUUAUUUUGUGCAUAUACUCAGUGAUAAGCAGCACUUUACCAGCUGUACUCUCUCACGAAUGUCUAAAAGACUGCAAAUAUGUGAAAUGAUCAGGCCUGCUCUUCAGCAGGAUAACUCCAGUAGUAGUUUAUAAAGUGAGUUAGAGACUGGAGGUGGCCAGACUAGAAAAAGUGUCUAAAAUUUUCUUUGAAUUUAGUCUGUUUUUUCUCUUAAGUUUUGAUUAUAUUUACUUUCUUAGUUAUUUCACUUGUCCAUCACUGUUUCUUCUUUCAUCUUCAACUUUUAAACCUGCUAUUCUCACAAGUCAGUAUUACUUUUACAAAUCUAUUAAACAAUUGCCAGUUCCCACUGAGAAGUACUACUUAACAGGUUUCAUUUUUAUCUCGAAAUGCCAAUGUAGAUAAUCUUCACUUCUUAACAUUUUCUUUUAGAGUGCUGGUGUCUUACACAUAACAUGCAAGUCUCUCCUUGCUGGCCCCUAUUCACAUAAUUAUUAUGUUUACUUAGGUAAGAUAAUCUUGCUUAUUUACUGAGUGCUCACUAUGGGACAUGAAUUAUGCAGGUCAUUAGGAACAAAAGGGUAAGAAAAAAUACAUAGACUAUUUUAAUAGAGUCUAAAAUCUAGUUGGAGAGAACUACAUUAAACAUUUAAUUACACGUUAACAAAAAAAUUACAAUAUGCUAAAUUCUAUAAAGAAAAGGAUGUG
rnacentral:lncRNA from 1 species